rnacentral:rRNA from 1 species
GACGAACGCUGGCGGCGUGCUUAACACAUGCAAGUCGAACGGAAAGGCCCUGCUUUUGUGCGGUGCUCAAGUGGCGAACGGGUGAGUAACACGUGAGUAACCUGCCCUUGACUUUGGGAUAACUUCAGGAAACUGGGGCUAAUACCGGAUAUGAGCACCUGCUGCAUGGUGGGGGUUGGAAAGUUUCGGCGGUUGGGGAUGGACUCGCGGCUUAUCAGCUUGUUGGUGGGGUAGUGGCUUACCAAGGCUUUGACGGGUAGCCGGCCUGAGAGGGUGACCGGCCACAUUGGGACUGAGAUACGGCCCAGACUCCUACGGGAGGCAGCAGUGGGGAAUAUUGCACAAUGGGCGGAAGCCUGAUGCAGCAACGCCGCGUGCGGGAUGACGGCCUGCGGGUUGUAAACCGCUUUCGCCUGUGACGAAGCGUGAGUGACGGUAAUGGGUAAAGAAGCACCGGCUAACUACGUG